AACCUAUUUGAGUUGCAAUGGCAGCAAGGCCUAAUUGUGCGUCACACCUACAUGCACACAAACAUUUAACUCCUGAGUAAACAGCCUGAUCUACACGGACACAACCAAACAUAAAAGUGCUCUACAUGGUUUUCAUCAAGAGGGAAUCAGGACAGUCCGCUGCAACACGAGGGCCCGCCUGGCUUCCUGGAGUGACUUGCACUGCAGCCAGCGAGUGUGACUAUGCCACACACACACACCACGCUCCUUUUAAUUAGCUGACAAGUCUUUGGACCUGAAAACACCACGGCACCGUGGCCUCUCUACACUGUAGCCAAGAGCUGCUCAGACCGUCCACUCCGUUCCUCUCCUGCAGACUACAAAAUGAGUCCAAGUCAGAUAAGAGCACAGCUCCCCAACAGACGAGCCGAGGCGCCUCAUUUGUACCCCAGCGAGCUUUCACUCCCAAACCCAAAUUGGAUCCAUUUUGACGAGGCUGCAGUGGACCAGGUGCCGUGAUCAGACCGACUGGAGACUUCUCUUUCAGCCCGACGAGCAGCACGGUGUGAAAAUAAGCUGUAAUGUGACAAAAUGGGAGCGGAGCAGCAACGGACUGCAGGCUGAGAGCGAGCUGAAGAGGGAGCAUACGGCCUGGACCCUCCUAGGACGGCCUCACUCUACAGCUGCUCGUUAACAUGUUCCUCAUUGGUAUCAACAGAUGUUGGCAGGCCAUGGACAUGGAGAAAAUUCAACGUAUGCUCGG